rnacentral:lncRNA from 1 species
AUGCAACUCCAAAAUUUACUUCUCGAUGCAAUUGACAGUCUACUGCCUAUUCUGAGCCUAAAAAAUGUAUAGGAAGAAGGGGUGAGAUUAUAAAAUCCCAAUGAGUAGACAGACAUCAUCAAAAUAAUCUAAAGCCGAGUAAUAUGAGAUAAUUAAAAUAAUUCAUCCCAACCCAUAUAAAUAAUUAGAUUUUAUCCAAUUACUCAACAUGGCUUAUGCACUUUUCAAAAACUUGGCCUUUGCCAAAAAUCCAUUCUUGGGGAUAGCCCGCGAAGGCAUCUUACCGAGACCGCCAAGGCUGUUUAUUGUCACACACACAAACACAUUUCACCUCUGACAACACAGCCGUUCCUCGGCGUUGGCUAAGUUCCAGUUUCACGUGGUGGCUAGCGUGAAGUGUACUCAAAUCCUACCUCGGGAGUUAUCCUACGCGCCUCUCCAAUCGAGGUAAGCUCAAUAAUUGGGAACCGUGCCCCUCUAAUUAGGCUGGCCCACGAAACCCCCGUCACUGCAGUGCCCACUUUAACUAUCCACCAACCAAUAAAAUCACAAUAGUAUGACAUGGCUCACUUAACACAUUCAAGGCAAAUCAAAGCAGUUCACAUGUUCUUUAAAUCAUAAAAAUAAUCAGUC